GGAGUCAUACCCAAGAGGCCGAAGGGGCGCCCCUGCUAAGGGUGUAGGUCGGAUUAAACCGGCGCGAGAGUUCAAAUCUCUCUGACUCCG
rnacentral:tRNA from 1 species